UGUUUUUGAAAAAUCACAACAAUGAAAUAGAUUGUCAAAAUGCCUUCGUGUUACGUUGCUUACUGUCAAAGUGAUUCUAGAUGUAAUACCAGCCUUGUUUCAUUCUUUGGAGUACCUAAGGACCAGUCUUUAUUUGAAGAAGGGAAAAGGGUAAUCCCCAUCAAAAGAAAAAGCUCUCAAUCCAAACUCCAAAGUCACUGGUCUGAGUGGCUCCUGUCAACUCCACUUCCAAGAAAAAUGUUUUAAGAAAACCAACAGGGAACACAGUCCUAGGCGUUUGAAGGCUGGUUCCAAUAUGAAUAUUGAGCCUUAUAUCUGAAUCAAAUCAUUUCUAUCAGGACACAGAAAAUCAAACAAGCUUGUCGAGGGUCUUCUCAGUACCUGGUGGAUUGAUUGUAUUAAAGCAGACAAAGACUGUGCAUGGAUCGGCUGAUACUGCCUGGGGAAUCUUGGUGAUCUGUAAAACAAGUGAAUGACCAACGAAUGAAACUCCAAGGAACUUGGAGAACCAACUUUUAGUUGCUGCAGUCAAUCAAAAAACAGAGAAUGACCUUCUUAAACAUGCCUGUUCAAAAUGUAAUAAAACGCUGAGGACAACUCUGCAGCCGCAUCUUGACAAGACCAUGCAAAGUCCAGCUAAUGUUUGAAAAACCAAUAUUUGCCAAGGGAGGUUCUACUCGCGAAAUUGACGGGACCUCCAGAAACAAAACCGGACGUUGGAAUCGGCACUGAAACGUCAAGAAGAGCCUGAAAUUGCCAUGACGGAUGUUUUAAAAGUGGAAAUGUUUCAACCGAUCGAUAACGACGAAGAAAUCACAGCUAGGAAAGGCCAGCUGGAAAUAAGAAGCGGA